CGUAAGUUGAGUUCCAGCUAGAAAUGCUUCUCUUGACUCUUCCAGCAGACAGAGAAGUCAGCUGCCUAAGAGGUAUGAUUGGAGAGUUCCCAAGAGUACCUUCGGAGAAGAAACACUCUUCAACCACAUCUGAUAUUCAUUCUUUUGGGUUGACUAUGUUAAACUGCAGAUACCUCAGUGUGGUGACAUGUUAAGUUUGGUGUUAGAUAAUUUUGUCAUCCAGUUUCCAACUAUAAGAAAAGGUUUGACAAAGAGAAAAAGAAUUUAAACUGGCUGGGAAAGUAAUCUCAAAGAUAAAGCCUCUGUCCGUGGUUCUCUCUAAUCUUCUGGGAAAGAAGAACAAUCUGGCCACCUGCACUAGCCUUCUGGUGGAUGGCCAUUGAUUGGUGGUGGGGGUCUCAGACAGUUAUGUGGACCCUUAGAAAGCUGAUGGGCCCCAGGCCCCGUGACAACAGUGCCGAAGGGUUAACAAGGCCCUGGUGAGGCUGGUUGUCAUUUUCAUAACUUUAUCAGUCUAGAAGUCUGCAAUUCCAAAAUGGGAUAAUGUAACACAGGCACAGAGAACCAUGGCUGAGGUGAGUCAGCUGGGUUCAAACCAGAAAUAAGAAUAGCACUAUGGGCGUUCCAGUCAAUUGAUGCGGGAACAACGCCCCCCCCCCCUUUUUUUUUUUCCAGUUCAUUCCUUUCUUUAAAAGGAGAUUCAGUUAGUUUUCAUCUCUCCUUCUCUUACUUCUAGAAUUUGCUAAAGGCCCUGAAUAUCUUAUUACUACCAUUUUAACACUGUAGGUAUGCUCUAGUUCAAAAAAAUCCCAAAUAAUAAAACCUGACCUUAUCAAAGAA